CUCCAGUUCCGCCAAAAUACUGCAGCAACUUGAAACACCGGUAGUGACAAAUGCUCAGUGCGAGGCCAGCCUCAGCCCCUAUACCGUCUCGGACGAUAUGAUUUGUACCGACUCGGAACCGAAGGGGUCUUGUUAUGGUGACAGCGGCGGUCCUCUGCAGUGCUUUGUAAAUGGGAGCUGGAUGCAGGCGGGAGUUGUUUCAUGGGGUAACGAAAACUGCAGGAAAGGAGCCUCCGUCUAUAGCAGGACCUCUUACCAUAGGGAUUGGAUCAUCGCUAACAUGUAGACAAUCCAUUAGUACAUUGUACCAUUACCGUGUUACAAAAUAAACACAAAUCAUAACUACAGCCACACAGAGACCAUGCUACAUCACUGAUCCUCGACUACAUCGGCUGACCUUCGUAACGCUACAGUAUUGACACCACGAUGAAAUAUAUUUCAUGUUGACAACACUAUUUGUGAUACAGGAAGAAAUAAUAUGAACAUUUUAGGAAGUAACAAUAAUGCCGAUAUCAUAUAAGCUAGGUGCCUCCAGACAGCACUAUUACUGGCUGACGUGAACUUCAUUGGUGUUGAUAUAUUAUUUAUGUAGCUAAUUGACAAAUUUUGUAGAGACAUGAUUAUAUUUUAUAUACAUAUCAUAUACAUAAUAAUAUAUAAACAGUAUUUUUCCUA